rnacentral:rRNA from 1 species
AGAGUUUGAUCAUGGCUCAGAUUGAACGCUGGCGGCAGGCCUAACACAUGCAAGUCGAGCGGCAGCGGGUCCUUCGGGAUGCCGGCGAGCGGCGGACGGGUGAGUAAUGCCUAGGAAUCUGCCUGGUAGUGGGGGAUAACGUUCGGAAACGGACGCUAAUACCGCAUACGUCCUACGGGAGAAAGCAGGGGACCUUCGGGCCUUGCGCUAUCAGAUGAGCCUAGGUCGGAUUAGCUAGUUGGUGGGGUAAUGGCUCACCAAGGCGACGAUCCGUAACUGGUCUGAGAGGAUGAUCAGUCACACUGGAACUGAGACACGGUCCAGACUCCUACGGGAGGCAGCAGUGGGGAAUAUUGGACAAUGGGCGAAAGCCUGAUCCAGCCAUGCCGCGUGUGUGAAGAAGGUCUUCGGAUUGUAAAGCACUUUAAGUUGGUAGGAAGGGCAGUCAGCUAAUACCUUGCUGUUUUGACGUUACCAACAGAAUAAGCACCGGCUAACUUCGUGCCAGCAGCCGCGGUAAUACGAAGGGUGCAAGCGUUAAUCGGAAUUACUGGGCGUAAAGCGCGCGUAGGUGGUUCAGCAAGUUGGAUGUGAAAGCCCCGGGCUCAACCUGGGAACUGCAUCCAAAACUACUGAGCUAGAGUACGGUAGAGGGUGGUGGAAUUUCCUGUGUAGCGGUGAAAUGCGUAGAUAUAGGAAGGAACACCAGUGGCGAAAGGCGACCACCUGGACUGAUACUGACACUGAGGUGCGAAAGCGUGGGGAGCAAACAGGAUUAGAUACCCUGGUAGUCCACGCCGUAAAACGAUGUCGACUAGCCGUUGGGAUCCUUGAGAUCUUAGUGGCGAAGCUAACGCGAUAAGUCGACCGCCUGGGGGAGUACGGGCCGCAAGGGUUAAAACUCAAAUGAAUUGACGG